ensembl:misc_RNA Metazoa_SRP Metazoan signal recognition particle RNA
GCCGGGCGUGGUGGCGCAUGCCUGUAAUCCCACCUACCCAGGAGGCUGAGACAGGAGAAUCGCUUGAACCCAGGAAGCGAAGGUUGCAGUGAACCAAGAUUGCGCCACUACGCUCCAGCCUGGGCAACAGAGCGAGACUCUGUCUCCA